rnacentral:lncRNA from 1 species
CUAAAUUCCAUACACUAACCACCUAAUCUAUCCUAAACUAAUCAAAUUAGAGAGGAAUUAGAGAGACUUACCAUUGCUACGAAAUAGAGAGGAAGUGGAUAGGAAUUUGAGACAAAAUAAAGAGUGAGCUCUCGGGAGUAUAUAUAAGAGAUUACAUGUCCUCGUAAUUUCCUCGUAAAGUUACGAGGAAUUACAAAGGCACACGUUUUACAAUACGAGGAAAUAGCGAGGCCCGCAUUUUACUAUAUGAGGAAAUAGCGAGGCCCGCGUUUUCCAGUUACAAGGUCUUUACGACGAUUUUGCCUUACGUGGAAUUAACGAGUCCUUCCUUUACGAGGAAUUAGAGAGGCCCGAUUUUCUAUAAAUACCCACAAGUUUCCUUCUCAAAUCACACACAAACUUAUAAAUCACACACUAUCUCAAAUCACACACUAAUUACUCACCAGUUUGCUUUUCAAAUUAAAAAGAUUUGAAAAAAAAGAGAGGAGAAGAAGAUAUUGGAACACAUGUGGGCUAGACUUACGUAGGUCUCGCCACAU